rnacentral:rRNA from 1 species
AACGAACGCUGGCGGCGUGCCUAACACAUGCAAGUCGUGCGAGAAAGUUCCUUCGGGAGCGAGUAAAGCGGCGCACGGGUGAGUAACACGUAGGUAACCUGCCCCCCAGUCUGGAACAACUAGAGGAAACUCUAGCUAAUGCCGGAUGAGACCACGAUCCCUUCGGGGGUUGCGGCCAAAGAUGGCCUCUACUUGUAAGCUAUCGCUGAGGGAUGGGCCUGCGGGCCAUUAGCUUGUUGGUGAGGUAACGGCUCACCAAGGCUGUGAUGGCUAGCUGGUCUGAGAGGAUGACCAGUCACACUGGGACUGAGACACGGCCCAGACUCCUACGGGAGGCAGCAGUGGGGAAUAUUGCGCAAUGGGCGAAAGCCUGACGCAGCGACGCCGCGUGGGU